GACUGCCAGGCCUGCCCUGUACCGGUCACCACCCUCUCCUCAGCACCGAGAGCAGCAGGGUCCGGUUCUGACACGGCCCGGUGCCCACCGCGGGAGCUUCCUGGGCACCGCCCCGGGGGAAAGCGCGGGGGUGGCUCUAGCAGGUCCCUGGGCAGCGGAUGCGUGUGGAGGAGCAGGGCCCUGGCCAGGCCCUUUGAGGGUGCCAGCUGUGUGCGACACUCAUGAGGCCUCUCCGGGCUGUGUGCAAGUUUCCCUGCAUGGAUGUCUCAAUUCUGGACACUCUGUGUCUGUGCCUCUGGACAGAGCUGGAGGAGCUGCUGGGUCCUGCAGAGACCAUAGGACAUCAUGCUCAGUACACAAGGUGGAGGGUCAUUGGAGUUUGUCUUCCCAAUUAUCUGCUGCAUGUGAUGGAGCCCCGCUGCCCUGGAAAUAGCUGAACACCUGACUGCCCAUGGAAGUCCCACUGGUGGGGAAACAAGCGAGCGGCUGCGUGGAGCUUGGAUGCUGACUGGGGUUAAACCAUGACAAUGUGGGAUCUUUUUGUUCCAAAAGUCUCAACAUCAGACUAAAUUUAGUCCUAUAAAAAUCAAUAAAUGGUCUCCAACUUUAACACGAGGGCAGAGAAAGGUCACUGUUAAAUAUUUCUGAACAGUCUUACCUGAGGUUCUUCUCCUUUCCAGUUGGGAAUGAUAUGAUGAGAAACUUUCCACUGCUUUAAACAUUAAGGAAUCUCUGAAAAUACUUAGAAACAAUUAACUCAAAAUGUUCUCUGGUUUGGGGUUUGAUAUUUUCUUUUGAAGUACAGUAUGUUGUUCUGCUGAUUUUUCAUCCAAUCCACAUGCUGGUGUCCCAGAGGCUUGUUUCUGUGGUGUGUUUGUACAUCUACAAUGAAGAAUGUCCAGUGACUCAGACGUACAGGGCAGACCUUGAUGGAGUCUUAGCUUUUAGUUUUGAGAUCCAUGUACUAAGGGCAGCUGAGGAUGAGCUGUUUGUGUCGGGGCAUGGAGGAAAACAACAGUUCUGCAUGAGGUGCUGAGCACCACGGGGGAACAAAUACUCUUUACAUUAUUGAGUUGUGCACAACCAGCUGGGAAUUAUGUAAAACUCCACUUAAAUAUUUUGUCUCAACAACACAAGUGAAAACCAGUAGCUUUUGGAGAUUUGCUUUGUGUCAGGCUGCUCCACCUCCUACUAAGCUUUCCGUACAUUUCUCUGCUAACAGAAUAGGGCAACAAGUUUAUGAAAAUGCAGUUGGGACCUCCUGGUAUUUUAAUUUAAAUGAGUAUUUCAGGGGCUUGGGAGGAGGAGAUAUGUUCUCUGCUUUGGUGUUCUGUGUAUAAUAACAAGUUGUAACUUCGUCGUUCAGCAAGAUAAACCAGUUUAUUCCUGCUACAGCAAAGCCCACAGUGCCAAUAAAACAGCGGGAAGCAUUCCUAUGGAGGAGAACUGUCCUCACUUGGCAGGGCUCUACGGGGCCACUCUGCUCCCGGGGAUGUGCUCGAGCGGGCUCCAGCCGGGCAGGUGGGAGCGCUUUGCCGGCCAAGCUCUUGGGCAGGGCGGCACGGCCCGAGGGCUGCUGGGGCUUCCCAGCGGCUCGGCCGUGGUGGGACAGCCCACAGCACUGCAUCCCAACGGGAAAGUGCUCACAGAUCAGCGGGCUAUGCACCGUGGGUUAAAGGGAUCAUCCUGCCAUGCAGCCUAAUGAGGUGGAUGCUCUCCAGCUUCUGCAGCAUGCAGGAUUCGGGUGAAAGCACAGAUUUUCCAGGGUUCCUUUUCAUGGUGCUUUUACUGUGGAAAUAGUUUAAAUUGUGUUUCAUUCAGCAGUGGUCUAUGUGGAUGGUGCUUGGCUGCAAAUUCACUGCCCUUCGCUCUUCAUCAGAUGACUUAAACAAAAAAUAAACGUGUUGCUGCAGAAAUGAACUCAUGAACCCUCUGGGCCCAUUCCUCAGUGAGUGAAUUAAUUCCCACCCAAUGAGCUCUUGUCAGAAUGUGUGAACCAAGAUCUGCCAUGUGUACGAGGGAAGGAAAAGAACAGAAAAUUGCUAGAGUUUGAUACAUUAAUUAGGUCGAAGCUCACAGAGAAAGCAGAAAUUGAUUCCUUAAGGUGAAAAGAACAGGCACUUAACUGUAAAUUCCAGCACUUUUGGCAAGGGGCAGGCAGUAAUCAGAUCCAUUCAAAUAUGUAAAUUCAGAGAUUCAUCGUGCCCAAGGCCAGCAGAGAUGAUUGUGAUGAUUUCUUCUGACCUUCUCCAUCAUGUGGGUCAUGGAGUACCUUUUAUAUAGAUAUGUAUGAGUGUCAGUUGAGGGAGUUUGGCUUGUUUCAAAAUUCACACUAGCUCAGAUCAGGAGCAAGAGCAUGUAAAUUGCACUGCUACAAAAACCUCAUAGGAAAAAUCAGGCACACAUGCACACAAUUUUCGGGUAACAGCAUGUUUG